rnacentral:tRNA from 1 species
GGGCCUAUGGGGUAGUCUGGAUAUCCUUUCGGCCUUCGGAGCCGAAGACGAGGGUUCGAAUCCCUCUAGGCUCG